CCAUGAAGCUGGAUUCGCUAGUAAUCGCGCAUCAGCCACGGCGCGGUGAAUACGUUCCCGGGCCUUGUACACACCGCCCGUCAAGCCAUGGAAGCCGGGGGGUGCCUGAAGUGCGUGACCGCAAGGAGCGCCCUAGGGUAAAACCGGUGACUGGGGCUAAGUCGUAACAAGGUAAC
rnacentral:rRNA from 1 species